UUAAAGUCGAGUUAAAUCAAACGCAGACGCAGUGUCUCAAAAUUCCUAUAUAAAGCAUUGUAAGUCCCCACCAAAAUUCCAAUAUCGAGUCCAAUUCCGACGAUUCCAAGCAAACAGGGCCACAAAUUUCUCCUCCUGUUCGCCGAGGCCUACCCGCCUACCAUAUAGCCAUCAAAUUUCGUGUCCGUAGCAAAAAUUCGCAUUUUUUUUAGAGGAUUAGAAGAUGAGGCUGUUGAAGGUAGCUACCUGUAACUUGAACCAGUGGGCGAUGGAUUUCGACUGCAAUUUAAAGAACAUUAAGGAGUCCAUAGCCAAGGCCAAAGAAGCUGGUGCCGUUAUUAGACUCGGCCCUGAGCUUGAAAUCACUGGCUAUGGCUGUGAAGAUCAUUUCUUGGAGCUCGAUACCGUCACUCACGCAUGGGAUUGCUUGAAAGAAAUUCUGCUGGGGGAUUGGACUGAUGGGAUAUUGUGCAGCUUCGGGAUGCCGGUUAUUAAAGGAUCAGAGCGUUACAAUUGUCAAGUUUUGUGUUUGAACAGGAAAAUUAUAAUGAUACGCCCAAAAAUGUGGCUCGCUAAUGAUGGUAAUUACAGGGAGCUUCGAUGGUUCACUGCAUGGAAGCAAAAUGAUCAGCUUGUGGACUUUCAUCUCCCAAAUGAAGUUUCAAAGGCUAUAAAUCAGGAUUCAGUGCCUUUUGGUUAUGCUUUCAUUCAGUUUUUAGAUACAGCUGUUGCUGCUGAAGUUUGCGAAGAACUUUUCACCCCUAUCCCACCUCAUGCUGAGCUUGCCCUUAAUGGGGUAGAAGUGUUUAUGAAUGCGAGUGGGAGUCACCACCAAUUGAGGAAGCUUGAUCUUCGUCUUCGUGCUUUUAUAGGUGCUACUCAUACUCGAGGAGGCGUUUAUAUGUACAGUAAUCACCAAGGAUGUGAUGGUGGCCGCCUUUAUUAUGAUGGAUGUUCUUGCAUUAUUGUAAAUGGAGAAGUGGUUGCCCAAGGAUCCCAAUUUUCUUUAAAGGAUGUUGAAGUUGUAAUUGCCCAAGUAGAUCUGGAUGCGGUUGCUAGCCUUAGAGGAUCUAUAAGUAGUUUUCAAGAACAAGCAAGUUGCAAAACCACAGUGUCAUCAGUAGCAGUGCCGUACAAUCUCUGUCAGCCCUUUAACCUGCAAAUGUCCCUUUCCAGCCCCCUUAAGAUCAACUAUCAUUCUCCUGAAGAGGAAAUAGCCUUUGGCCCUGGUUGCUGGCUCUGGGACUAUCUAAGAAGAAGUGGAGCUUCUGGAUUUCUGCUUCCUCUUUCUGGUGGAGCGGAUAGUUCCUCUGUGGCUGCUAUUGUUGGUUGCAUGUGCCAACUUGUUGUGAAAGAGAUUGCAAAUGGGGAUGAACAAGUCAAAGCUGAUGCAAUACGAAUUGGACAUUACACCAAUGGGCAAUUUCCUACCGACAGCAAAGAAUUUGCAAAGCGUAUAUUUUAUACUGUAUUUAUGGGGUCUGAAAACAGUUCUGAAGCCACAAGACAGCGGGCAAAGGUUCUAGCAGAUGAGAUUGGUUCAUGGCAUCUUGAUGUUUCAAUAGAUGGUGUUAUUUCUGCAUUGCUAUCGUUGUUUCAAACCCUAACUGGAAAGCGACCACGUUACAAGGUAAAAAGGUUAUUAUAAAUUAUCCUUCAGUUCAGUGUGAAGAUUCUUUCCAACCCCAAUCAGCAUUUUUCUCUGCCAUCUAAGGAUUCUUUGCCCAAAAGAGAAGUCAGUUUAUGAGAUAAGGUGGUUAUUCUAGAUUCUCUACGAGCUUAUGCUUCAAGAGCUUCUCUAUGGGCUUAUGGUUCUUUAAGCAUUAUUUAGCUUGAUUGGAGGACAUUACUUUUUUAUUCUCAUUUUCAUGCUUCUGCCUCUAAUUGUGUGAAGGUCUUCAUAUGAGGUAUAUAUAUAUCUGCAUUGUGCACUAAUUAUUCAUUUCAUCAAUGAAAUCUUAAACAUGGGCUGAAAUCUUAUCUAUAACUUUAUUUUCAAAAUUUUCUUUCUGAGAACUAAAAGCCUUUUUUUUCCUUUUCAUUUGAGUUUGUUCUUGUGUUUCAAUCAUUACCACGGUUUCCUGAUUUUGGGCAAGCACCAAUCCUUUCAUUAAAAUUUUCAAUCAGCUUUUUUUUUUAACAGGUAGAUGGGGGUUCUAAUAUUGAGAACCUAGGGUUGCAGAACAUUCAAGCUCGAAUCAGAAUGGUGCUAGCAUUUAUGUUAGCCUCACUCUUGCCUUGGGUUCAUAAUAAAUCAGGUUUUUAUCUCGUUUUGGGUAGCUCUAAUGUGGAUGAAGGACUGCGUGGUUACCUGACAAAGGUAGUACCCUAUUUACUAAUUGGAUAAUUUUCAGUUUUUUUUUUUUUUGUUCAAACCGAAAUUGCUUUUCUUUGUUAGCAAACUUGGGUACUUCAUUUCUAACCACGUAUGGAUGGAGUAUAGUUCACUAACUUUUCCUAACCAUUUAAAUGUUGUUUGUUGCCUCAAAUAUCUUGUUCAAUUUUUCAUAAGUUAAGAAAAUUAGAUAGGAUUAAUUUUACUUGUAAUCACUAAACAUAUCAAUAAAUUACUACACGGCCAUUAGCCCUUAAUUGGUAUCAACAAAAUACUAAGGUUUAAUUUUGUUUCGGUAUGGUCACUACUGCCACUCUUUAUAGAAAUGUAGUCAAAUGUUCUGUGUUGGCAAAGUAAGUUCUAAAAUCAAUUUUUAAUUUUAGGAAUAUGUUUAAAAAAAACUUGGUUAUGAUGCAAAAAAUUUAGUUGAAAUUUUAUAAAAAUCUGGCAGUCAUGGUCUUAUUGAAACAAAAUCACAGACAUGUGAUUUUGUUCAUACAAAUUGAAGCUUAAUGAAUAAUGACUAUGUUAGAUUUAGUGAUAAGUGCCCAUUGAUAAAAAAAGCCAAAUUGAUCAUGGCCAUUGAUUUUUUCAGUUUGAUGAUGAUUUCUUCAUUUCUAACUUGAAAUUGACGCGAUUGGUAGUUAAUCUGUCUUAACUGUUUCUAACAAGAAUUCACUUUUUUAUUUCUUUUGCAGUAUGAUUGUAGCUCGGCAGAUAUAAAUCCAAUAGGAAGUAUUAGCAAGCAGGAUCUUCGGGCAUUUUUGCGAUGGGCUGCCAUCCAUCUUGGUUACUUAUCCUUGGCAGAAGUUGAAGCAGCACCUCCAACUGCUGAAUUGGAGCCUAUACGUUCAAACUACAGUCAGCUUGAUGAAGUUGACAUGGGAAUGACAUAUGAGGAGCUCUCAGUUUAUGGAAGGUUGCGCAAAAUUUUCCGCUGUGGACCAGUGUCGAUGUUUGAGAAUCUCUGCUACAAAUGGGGUUCAAGAUUAACUCCAUCACAGGUGGCUGAUAAAGUGAAACACUUCUUCAAGUACUAUUCCAUUAAUCGCCACAAAAUGACCAUCUUAACACCUUCUUAUCAUGCGGAGAGUUAUUCACCAGAGGAUAACAGGUUCGAUCUUCGUCAGUUUCUGUACAAUGCAAGAUGGCCCUAUCAAUUCCGUAAGAUUGAUCAACUUGUUCCGGAAUUAAAUGGGGAUAAAGUUGCUUUCAGAGAAUCAAAUGACAAGGAAAAAUUGGGUGCUUCUUCAAACGGAGUAGUAGGGAUGGGGGUUGUGGCAUCAGGCUCCGGUGAUCCAAAAGCUGGCCUUUAAUUUUAAAGAGCGAAGUAGAAACUUGCACCAGAAAUAAUAACAUGCAAAUAAAUUGUUUGCCCGUGUCCAUUUUGAUUUCUAUCAAAGGCAUACAACAUGGUUUCAUUGCCUCUUCUCAACCAUCUGGCCAGACCCAACUUAUAUUCUUUUUCAACAUUCCAGCCGUUUUUUGUAAGCAGUAACAAAUUCAGCAGUGUAUAACUUUCAAUGUGACUAAAUUACAAGGUUUACCAAAUACAAUUUCAAAAUUUACAGUUCUAUCAAUUAAUGUGAAACAAUUUAAUGACCAAUAUUAAAUGAAAUUGUAGACUUUUA
rnacentral:misc_RNA from 1 species